UUGAUUUAAGUCCUAAAGCACAUGGACCAGCUUUAACGAUGACAAUUCAUCCGAAACAAAGAGGUGUAAAGCAUGAUAUAAAUGUUGACGUUUCACCCUCUCUUGAAUCUGAUGUACCAGUAACAGAACAUGGAUGGCCUCGACCAGCAACAAAAAGUGCAUUUGGUAAAGCACUCAUUGAUAAAGUCAUCCAAACUGGUACGCAUUUGGUGCCAAAGCAAAAUUUAUUCUGGGCUAUUUCCUACUCAAAGCUGAACGGACGAUUCUGUCAAGUAUCGACGAAGGAAAUGGGUGCAGAAAAAAGAUAUACAAGGUGAUAAAGAAGUACGUCCAGAAUUGCAAAUCAAAAUCGCAGAAUGGACUGCCUGGGAUUUCGUCUCAUAUAUUAAAGAUUCAAGUUUUCUGGUCCAGUGAGAAGCGCCCUAACAAAGAAUAUUGGCACGAAAGUAACCGUGACAUAUGUCUCAUUGACACAUUGAGAGACAUGGAAACGGCACUUCGAAAAAGUCAUCUUCCAGAUUUCUUUAAUCCAAGUGUAAACGUUCUAAAAGGGAAAGAUCGGGACCAGCUAUUGAUAUUAGCAAAUUAUUUUAAAAAUGAAAGAAUGUUAUUCGAAAGUAAAUAGGAAUCCAUUGUUCAAACAUUGUAGGACAGACAGGUAUUGUGAGUUCUUUAAACACAUUUCAACAUGUUAAUGACAUCUUUCUACUUGCGAUGCAUGGCUCUCUGGUUGUGUUUGGAGUAUUCUUUGCUUCCGGGAAAUCCAACCUUAUUUAUUUUGUACAAAAUGCACAAAAUAGGGUCGUGUGCUUGAUUUUUUGUUACUCCGAUUUAAAAAUAUUGGUUCUCCAGUUAAUUUUCACAAUGGGCUUCUAUGGGAAGAUUGCACUUUUAAUGACAUGUUCGCGUGAAGAAAAAAAGUCUAAAAAUGCAGAUUUUAAUUAAAGUUAUAGAUUCACCUAUUUUCAAUCAUAUGAAUAAAUAAAUAAAAUGUA